rnacentral:rRNA from 1 species
UACGUAGGGGGCGAGCGUAGUCCGAAGUUACUGGGCGUAAAGCGCGCGUAGGCGGGCUAUUAAGUUGGAUGUGAAAUCUCCUCGGCUCAACCGGGAAAGUGCAUCUGAAACUGGUAGCCUUGAGGUAUGGAGAGGGAAGUGGAAUUCCUGGUGUAGCGGUGAAAUGCGUAGAUAUCAGGAGGAACACCCGUGGCGAAGGCGGCUUCCUGGCCAUAUCCUGACGCUGAGGUGCGAAAGCUAGGGGA